rnacentral:misc_RNA from 1 species
GAAAUGCGAUAAGUAAUGUGAAUUGCAGAAUUCAGUGAAUCAUCGAAUCUUUGAACGCACAUUGCGCCCGCCAGCACUCUGGCGGGCAUGCCUGUUCGAGCGUCAUUUCAACCCUCAGAACCCCUUGCGGGAUCUGGCGUUGGGGAUUGGCAUUCAGCCAGCCCCGAAAUCUAGUGGCGGUCCCUCCGCGACCUCCCCUGUGCAGUAGCGAUACCUCGCAGCGGGACAGCGGUCUGACCACGCCGUAAAACCCCCAACUUCUCAAGGUUGACCUCGAAUCAGGUAGGAAUACCCGCUGAACUUAAGC